AUCUGGUAUUGAAUUUGGAAUCUGUCUGUGUAGGAUAGGUGGGAGACUAUGAAGGCAGGGCGUUAGCCUUGCUGGAGUCAACGGUGAAAUACCACCCUUUUAGUUUUUAGAUUCUAACUUUGUCCUCUGAAUCGAGGCAAGGAACAGUGCCAGAUGGGCAGUUUGACUGGGGCGGUUCCCUUCUAAAAUGUAACGACGGGGUCCAAAGGUCUCCUCAAGACGGUCGGCAAUCGUCUGUAGAGUGCAAAGGCAUAAGGAGGCUUGACUGUGAGUCCGAUAGGACGAACAGGUACGAAAGUAGGGCUUAGUGAUCCGGUGGUACAAAAUGGGAUGGCCAUCGCUCAACAAACAAUAGGUACUCUGGGGAUAACAGGCUGAUCGCGCUCGAGAGUUCAUAUCGACAGCGCGGAUUGGCACCUCGAUGUCGGCUUAUCGUAUCCUGGGGCUGUACAAGGUCCCAAGGGUCCGGCUGUUCGCCGGUUAAAACGGUACAUGAGCUGGGUUUAGAACGUCGUGAGACAGUUCGGUCUCUAUCUGGUGUGGGCGCACGAUAUUUGAAGAGGCUUUCUCCCUAGUACGAGAGGACCAGGAGAAACGAACCUCUGGUGUUCCAGUUAUCCUGCCAAGGGUAUUCGCUGGGUAGCCACGUUCGGGAAGGAUAAGCACUGAAAGCAUAUAAGUGCGAAGCUUACCUCAAGAUUAGAUAUCGUUUUUCGCAAGAAAUGAAGACACCUUGUAGACUACGAGGUUGAUAGGCUGCGAGUGUAAGGCCCGCGAGGGUUUUAGCUGAGCAGUACUAAUCUGUCGAAUGCUUGACUAU
rnacentral:rRNA from 1 species